CACACACACACACACAGGCAUGGACACACACAGGCACACACACACACACAGGCAUGGACACACACACACACACACACAGGCAUGGACACACACAGGCGCGCACACACACACACACAGGCAUGGACACACACAGGCACACACACACACAGGCAUGGACACACACAGGCGCACACACACACACACAGGCAUGGACACACACAGGCACACACACACACACAGGUAUGGACACACACAGGCACAUACACACACACAGGUAUGGACACACACAGGCACAUACACACACACACAGGCAUGGACACACACAGGCACAUACAUACAGGCACAUACACACACACACACAGGUAUGGACACACACAGGCACAUACACACACACACAGGCAUGGACACACACAGGCACACACACACACACACACACACGUAUGGACACACACAGGCACACAGAAGCACACCCAGGAAUGGCAGGACAGGAUCCUUCC